GGAAAAAGUCAAGGGUGUGAAUACUUUCUGAAGGCACUGUAAAUAGUGUGCCACAAAAUAUUCCAAGUUUGCAAAUGUUUGCCACUACUGGUGAAUCUGCGGCAAACCUUUAUUGCCACUAGAGGCAAACUGGUUAUCAUAAGCCGUUUCUGAUGAACACAUGAGUUCCAAGACAAGUAACCGUUAAUGACCAAUCAGGGAGAUUAGAAAAAUAUUUUGGAAAAUGGAAACCAAACUAUUUAGCUUGCUACCUAUCAAAGUGUUCAGAUGGAUACACCUACCCGUUGUGUUGGAAGAGGCUGCAUCAACUCCCUGGAAAGAUGUUUGUGGUGCAGUCCCUCAUAACGCUUUUAUUGAGUGAUAAAUGAGCGUGUCCUCUUCAAGCUCGAAGCAAUCAGCUACAAGACAAAACGUUUUUUUGGCCUUCAAUCAAUCUGAGGACAGAGAAUGAUGUGUUCAAAGUCAAAGCUUCUUGCACACAUGGCUUUGAAAUGAAAGCUAUCAUACAUUCAUUUUUGAAUUGCCAUAUUAGGCAUAACACCAUUUUUGGUUGGUUUUCUUCCAUGCAAGCCUUAUACACCUGAGUCAGGAACCAAAGACAACUAGUAGACAACUGUCUCUUAAUGAUGAAGUCCCCAGUCUAGAUUGAUUAUCAUAAUUAGUUGAUUAGUUUGAACCAAUUAUGCUGAGGCUUGGCUGGAGUAAAAUCGUGUAUACUGUGCCUUCCUUAGGAACAGUUGGCCACACAUUUAAAGGGAGAUUUAGUAGGCCUAAGUCCCAGUUUAUGCUAGCUACAUCGUUUGUUUAUAUAGCAUUUGUAAACGGCAGAAACGUUGUUUCUUUGCUGAAAAAUAUAUAGAAAUCUAGUUUCAGUGAGAAGCAUACCAACGCCAAAGUAACUUCGUAACAGCUGACUCUGUUUUUUCAAAAGCCGAACCCGCUCAUUAGCUGCUGAAUCUACCUUUUAAGAUGCCAAAAUAAAAAAUGUUUUCAGUAUUCUAAUUGUGUUUUUCUUUUGUGUUUUCUGAAUGUUUCAGUGCAUGCUUUCAAGUUUUGGACGAAAGGGUUCAAAGUUCAAGUUCACUCAAAAGUCAAUAGUUCUGAACAGGGUUGGAAUUUUCUGUUUGAAUUAUUUCAGUGUUAAUUAUCUUUUAAACUUCCAUUGGUUGAAAGCUAUUGCUCAGUUAUCACUUGGCUCAUGUAAAUUCUGUAAUUGCCCCUUUAAACAUCCUACGGUCAAUUUAUGUGGAGAAGAUCCAGUAUUUGCUCUUUUCUGCAUUACCAUGCUGAUGACUUCAAGUUGUAUUGGAUUUAUUUGUAUCUGUUAAGACAUUGAAUAAGUUGUUUAGUAUAUUUUGUACGUUUAGUAUGUUUAGUUUUCUCUGUGAGAAGCAAGUUCAUUUAAAGUUCUAUGUGAUCUAAUUUGCAUAUUUGUACUGAGUUUGCUGCAAAUUGGCCAAAGGUUUGCCACAACUGUUUGUUAGAAGCCUAUUUUUUCAGUAAGUGUACUGUUCCCUUUGAGAGCCCUGUAAAUGUAAAUAGUUCAUUUUAUCCC